rnacentral:lncRNA from 1 species
GGUUGGUCUAAAACCAUUUUGAAAAAGAAAAAUCAUUUCCAUUUUAAUUUUAUUUAUAAACUGAAAUAUGAUAUCCUUUGGUGUUAGUAGUAUAGUUAAAAUAAUUCGAAAAUUAUCUAAUUACAAGUACACAAAAACUUCUUGAAAGGGAAACAAAGCUAUUUGGUGUUGUGAAAGGACGGCCUUUUGAAUAUACUUUCUGUGUAUUUAGUAGAUGUGUCGAAAGUACUAGAAACUACAUAGGAUAAACCUUUGGAUGCUCAUGGCCUGUUGCCAAAUAUUUAAACUUAAACACAACAUUAGUCUCUUAUAUGUGCAAAAUCACUUCAAAACGGGGG